rnacentral:rRNA from 1 species
UACGUAGGCAGCGAGCGUUGUUCGGAGUUACUGGGCGUAAAGCGCGUGUAGGCGGGUCUUUAAGUCAGGGGUGAAAUGCCAGGGCUCAACCUUGGAACUGCCUUUGAUACUGGAGACCUUGAGUCCGGGAGAGGUGAGUGGAAUUGCGAGUGUAGAGGUGAAAUUCGUAGAUAUUCGCAAGAACACCAGUGGCGAAGGCGGCUCACUGGCCCGGAACUGACGCUGAGACGCGAAAGCGUGGGGAGCAAACAGG